AAUCAAGGUAAGAGCAUCUCCAAUCUCACCUCAUAUUUUACUUCAAAAUUGAGAAAAUGGAGUGGGAAAUGAAGUAAUGAACAAAAAAUAAAAGGAUUACUCCAUUUAUAGAGUAAUGCUUUUAUUUUUUGUUCAUCACUCCAUUUUCCAUUCUAUUUUCUUAAUUUUGGAAUAAAAUAUGGAGUGGGGUUGGAGAUGCCCUAACUAAAAAAAAAACUUCAACUAAUUUUCCACUUUACACAAUAAAGAGUCCAAAAAUAAAUCUCCCAGGAAAUCAUUUUAAUAAUUAAAAAAUGGUUAGUCGGAUGCCGUUGAUUUCCACGUCCCGCCACCCAAAUAAUACUGAUUAAUUAAUUUAAAAAACAAGGAGUAUUGUUUAUUAUUUUUCCUUUUAUUUUUGAGUGAAAAAAUUGAAAGAAAAAUCCUCGAGUCGUCGUCGUCCUCCUCCUCCUCUCUCGCCAGAUCGCCUCCUGCCUUCUUCCUCAUCGCAGAUCCACCGUAAUCGCCCAAUCAUUCACCCCAGAGAACAAAUCGGGUUAGCUUCAGAGUAUCAUCAUGGACCAUCUCCCCGUUGAAGUCAUCGGAAACAUCCUCUCACGCCUCCGCGGCGCCCGCGACGUCGUCAUAGCCUCCGCAACCUGCCGAAAAUGGCGCGAAGCCUACCGCAAACACCUCCACACGCUCUCCUUCAACUCCGCCGACUCCCCCUUCUACCGAGACCUCUCCACCAACCGCCUCGAGAUCCUCAUCACCCAAACCAUCUUCCAAACCACCGGACUCCAAGGCCUCUCCGUCAUGAUGGACGACGCCAGCAAAUUCUCCGCCGCCACCGUCAUCGCCUGGCUCAUGUACACUAGAGACACCUUGCGCUGGCUCUCCUACAACGUCCGCACGACGCCGAACGUCAACGUGCUCGAUAUCUGCGGGAGGCAGAAGCUUGAGGCCUUGGUGUUGGCUCAUAACUCGAUAACCGGUGUUGAACCGAGUUUUCAGAGGUUUCCUUGUUUGAAAUCGCUUUCGUUGAGUUAUGUGAGUAUCUCGGCUUUGGAUUUGAAUCUUUUGCUUAGUGCCUGUCCUGUGAUCGAGUCUUUGGAGCUUGUGAGUCUCGAGAUCGCUAUGUCUGAUGCUCAAGUGACGAUUGAGCUGAGUAGUCCGACGUUGAAGAGUGUUUACUUCGAUGGGAUUAGUUUGGAUAAGUUUAUUUUGGAGGCGGAUUGUAUCGAGUUCUUGCAUAUGAAAGACUGUGUACUCGAGCUCUUUGAGCUUAUUGGUAACGGGACGUUGAAGCAUUUCAAGCUUGAUGAUGUGAGUGUUAUUCAUCUUGAUAUCAUGGAGACUAGCGAUAGUCUUGAGGUUGUUGAUGUGAACCAUUUCACUAUGGUGUGGCCGAAGUUUUAUCAGAUGAUUUCGAGAUCGCAGAAUCUGAGGAAGCUUCGUCUUUGGGAUGUGGUGUUUGAUGAUGACGAUGAGAUCAUCGAUCUUGAGUCUAUUGCUGCUGGCUUCACGCAGCUGACUCAUCUUUCGUUGAGCUACGACUUGAAAGACGGAGCUGCGCAUUAUAGCUUGCAAGGGAACACUCUGUUGGAGAAUGUGACUGUGUUGGAGCUUGGAUGGACUGUGAUUAACGAUGUUUUCUCGAUCUGGGUCGAGGAGUUGCUGAGAAGGUGUCCGAAUCUGAGGAAGCUGAUUAUUUAUGGGGUUGUUUCGGAGACGAAAACGCAGGGAGAUUGUCAGAUUCUGGCGACGUUCACGUGGUCUAUUGUUCAACUCAUGAGGAAAUAUAUUCAUGUUGAGGUACAAUUCGAGUAUGAGUGAUUGGGUUCUUGUUCUCGACGCUGUUGAAUACAAGUUGAAAGUAUGUAAAGAUUGAGUUUUGAAUUUUCUUGAACUCAAUUAUAGUUUAUUUCUAUUAACUAAUAAAGUUGCAUUAAAAUUUUAAAAAUGUUAUUUAUUAAAAAAACUUGAAGAAUCUUUAUUUAUUAGUAACAGAAAUAUAUAAUUUUUGCUAUAUAAAUAUCAAAGUAAACGCGAAUAAAUGACUUGGACAUCUCUUGAUUUCACUUUAACUCGGAUCUCCGAAAACGAGCUAUUGUGUGUUUGAAAGUAUAAGCGAAGGAUGGACCAUGACCUUUAUUGUUUUUCUCGACCGACACUUAAUAUAUAGUAGCUCAAGUAUGAAGAGUCUAUGAAUCAGGAAGAAAAAUCCAUCGGUCAAUCCUCAAUUCGAUCAGACUAAAUCCAAAUACAUCAAACGUAAGGUUAAAUAGUUUGGAUUGGAUGUGAUCAAACCAAAAUAAUAUUUGACUCAGAAUAAGCUUAGAUUGGGGAGGGACCGAUUCAAUUGACAUAACUACCGCUCUCUCUCUCUCACACAACUUGUGGACUGUAUUAAAUAACAUAUCAUGUGAUCAAUAUCUAGCUAGCUGAUAUCAUUGAGAUUCAUUUUCAUCUGUCUAGCAGUUUCCUGUUUCUUGUUAAUUCUUAUAUAUAUUAUAUCUGUUGUCUUCUUCCUCAAUUGUAGAGGUUGUUUUGGUUUUGUUAGAUGCAUCUAAGGUAUGCUUAAUGGUAAGAUAUUGACCUCACAUUGUAUCUGUUUUUGUCACUGAUAAAAACUUAUUGUCCUCACACUAUUGGAUCUUAGUGUUGUGUAAUAUUAUUCUCUAUUUAUUGUCCUUUCAUACUGUCUGGCCCCAAAGCUCCAUGCCUUCUUUAAAUCCAAGACCUUCUAUACAUACUCUGCAUCUUUCAUAUAUACCUUUCUUUUUAAAAUAUAUACAAACUAUUUUGCUCAAAAAAAAAAAAUAUAUAUAUAUAUACAAACUACUAUUGAAACUAGAAUAUAUAGUUUUGAACCCUUUAUGCCAUAACUGAAUUACAACUAUUCGGGCAUAGAUUCGUGAAUCUCAGAUGACUGUGCAAAAGAUCAUAGUAUUUUUUUGGUUAUCUAGAUCAUAUGUAACUAAAUUCAAUAUAAGACUUAAUUGAAAAUGAAAAAUAAAAUAAAUGAAAACAUAUUGGGGUUUUAUAACAGUAGAGCUAUAAGAUAUCUUAUAGGAGAAUUAAAAAUCAUUUUGUUAGAAGUUAUGUCUAACAACAUUAUUACAUUCAAGAUUACUCAGACUCAGUUUGGACGGAUUAAUAAUUAUUUUACUUCUUCAAAUCCAAAUAUAAAGUUCCAAUAUAUCCUAAGUUUUAAAAUUGGUCAGAACGUAUUAUGGAUAUAUACAAAAUAUUUAAGUUCAUCCUAAUUGAAUCCCACUCAUGGAGAUAUAUGUAAAAUAGAACUAUAAUAUUGUAAUUGGAUCGAUGAUCACUCUAUCCACAUUUAGUAUUUUUGCAAAA